rnacentral:rRNA from 1 species
UUGGAGGGCAAGUCUGGUGCCAGCAGCCGCGGUAAUUCCAGCUCCAAUAGCGUAUAUUAAAGUUGUUGCAGUUAAAAAGCUCGUAGUUGAAUUUCGGGGUUAGUAGGUUGGUCAUGCCUCUGGUAUGUACUGGUCUCACUGAUUCCUCCUUCCUGAUGAGCCGUAAUGCCAUUAAUUUGGUGUUGCGAGGAAUCUGGACUGUUACUUUGAAAAAAUUAGAGUGUUUAAAGCAGGC